AGUGAACGCUGGCGGUAGGCCUAACACAUGCAAGUCGAACGGCAGCACAGGAGAGCUUGCUCUCUGGGUGGCGAGUGGCGGACGGGUGAGGAAUACAUCGGAAUCUACUUUUUCGUGGGGGAUAACGUAGGGAAACUUACGCUAAUACCGCAUACGACCUACGGGUGAAAGCAGGGGAUCUUCGGACCUUGCGCGAUUGAAUGAGCCGAUGUCGGGUUAGCUAGUUGGCGGGGUAAAGGCCCACCAAAGCGACGAUCCGGAGCUGGUGUGAGAGGAUGAUCAGCCACACUGGAACUGAGGCACGGUCCGGACUCCUACGGGAGGCAGCAGUGGGGAGUAUUGGACAAUGGGCUCAAGCCUGAUCCAGCCAUACCGCGUGGGUGAAGAAGGCCUUCGGGUUGUAAAGCCCUUUUGUUGGGAAAGAAAUCCAGCUGGUUAAUACCCGGUUGGGAUGACGGUACCCAAAGAAUAAGCACCGGCUAACUUCGUGCCAGCAGCCGCCGUAA
rnacentral:rRNA from 1 species